UGAGCCUGAGCUCGCUGCUCGUGCGCUCCGUGGCCACCGACAAGCGAGCCCUGUUCAUCAUCUGCACCUCGGAGCUGGGACCACAAAUCUACGAACUGGUGGCGCUGACGUCCUCGGAGAGGAACACGUGGCUGGAGCUGCUGGAGCGGGCGGUGCAGGCGGCCACCGG